rnacentral:rRNA from 1 species
GACGUAGGAGGCGAGCGUUGUCCGGAUUCAUUGGGCGUAAAGAGCACGCAGGCGGUUUGGCAAGUCGGAUGUGAAAGCCCGGAGCUCAACUCCGGACCUGCAUCCGAAACUGCCCGACUAGAGGUAGGUAGGGGAGAUCGGAAUUCCUGGUGUAGCGGUGAAAUGCGCAGAUAUCAGGAGGAACACCAAUGGCGAAGGCAGCUCGCUGGAACGGUACUGACGCUGAGGCGCGAAAGCGUGGGGAGCAAACAGG